UAAUUUUUAAUUAUCUCACACACACUAAACACACACACAACUCACGCAUAUCUCCAUUGUUGAGGAGUUGGAGCUUUUGAGCUCCGUUUUGAGCGAGAAGACGAGCCCCGAUCAUCUUUUCGAACACGUAUCUAAGUAGGUCCUUUUGGGAAGUAACGACUUGAGGGAGAGAGUGACGUUACUCAUUGAUACAGAGACACAACGAGGUUGAGCUGAUGUGAUGAUGGUGCUGCAAUGAGCGGAGUCUCCAGGGUUGUUAAUAAAUAGUUAACCUGUCUAGAAUAUGUCUUCAUACAUAUGUCUAGCUACUUUCCGCUGCAAGAUGUUGUUGAUAUUAUAGUAUGUUAUGUCAUACUUUGAGUCUUAAGAGAAUGGUUGCAUAUGAUGUAUAACUUGAUUAAUGAUAUUAAUUAACUUUUAUGCAGUCUUUCAUAGACUGUUUUCAAUUGAGUAUUAAUGAAUAAAAAUGACGAGUUUUAUUAA